GAUGAAGAACGCAGCGAAAUGCGAUAAGUAAUGUGAAUUGCAGAAUUCAGUGAAUCAUCGAAUCUUUGAACGCACAUUGCGCCCGCCAGUAUUCUGGCGGGCAUGCCUGUUCGAGCGUCAUUUCAACCAUCAAGCCCCAGGCUUGUGUUGGGGACCUGCGGCUGCCGCAGGCCCUGAAAACCAGUGGCGGGCUCGCUGUCACACCGGGCGUAGUAGAUUUUAUAUCGCUCAGGGCGUGCUGCGGGUUCCGGCCGUUAAAAAGCCUUUUUUACCCAAGGUUGACCUCGGAUCAGGUAGGAAGACCCGCUGAACUUAAGCAUAUCAAUAAGCGGAGGA
rnacentral:misc_RNA from 1 species